AGUGAACGCUGGCGGCGUGCCUAACACAUGCAAGUCGAAGGUAGUGGCGCACGGGUGAGUAAUAUAUAGCUAAUCUGCCCUCUGCUGUAGGAUAACCGUUAGAAAUGAGUGCUAAUACCCCAUAGUAUGGGAUGAGAGUAUAUCGUAUCAGCUCGUCGGUGGGGUAACGGGCUACCGAGGCUAUGACGUGUAACUGGUCUGAGAGGAUGAUCAGGCACCUUGGAACUGAGACACGGUACGAACUCGUACGGGAGGCGGCAGAAGGGAAUAUUGCGCAAUGGGGGUAACCCUGGCGGAGCAACGCGGCGUGGAGGAUGACACUUUGCGGAGCGUAAAAUCCUUUUGUUAGGGAAGCGGUACCUAACGAAGAAGCACCGGCUAACUCCGUGCCAGCCGCCGCGGUAAUAC
rnacentral:rRNA from 1 species